UACGUAGGUGGCAAGCGUUGUCCGGAUUUACUGGGCGUAAAGGGUGUGUAGGCGGAAUUUUAAGUAGAAAAGUGAAAGGUUGGAGCUCAACUCCAACACUGCUUCCUAUACUGGAAUUCUUGAGUCCCGGAGAGGAAGAUGGAACGACACGUGUAGCGGUGAAAUGCGUUGAUAUGUGUCGGAACACCAAUGGCGAAGGCAGUCUUCUGGACGGGUACUGACGCUGAGACACGAAAGCCAAGGGAGCGAAACAGG
rnacentral:rRNA from 1 species